GGGAUUGUGGCUCAGAGGUAGAGCACUUGCCUGGCAUGCAUGAGGCACUGAGUUCAAUCCUCAGCACUA
rnacentral:tRNA from 1 species